UGAGGGAUUUUCGGCAAUGGGCGAAAGCCUGACCGAGCGACGCCGCGUGAGCGAAGAAGGCCUUCGGGUCGUAAAGCUCUGUCUAGGGGGACGAGAGAGGACGGUACCCCUGGAGGAAGCCACGGCUAACUACGUGCCAGCAGCCGCGGUAAUACGUAGGUGGCGAGCGUUGUCCGGAAUUACUGGGCGUAAAGGGCGCGCAGGCGGCGCGUUAAGUCCGGGGUGGAAUCCCACGGCUCAACUGUGGGGGGACCCUGGAUACUGGCGUGCUGGAGUGCGGGAGAGGGAAGCGGAAUUCCACGUGUAACGGUGAAAUGUAUAGAUAUGUGGAGGAACACCGGUGGCGAAGGCGGCUUCCUGGACCGUAACUGACGCUGAGGCGCGAAAGCUGGGGGAGCGAACAG
rnacentral:rRNA from 1 species